AUAAAGACCAUUGAAUAGUUCUUGGGGAUUUCAACCGGCCAGGUACUGUCUGGUCUUCGGUUAACGAGUCAAACAACCUUGUGCCCAUGUCACAACAUGAUUUUAUUGAUGGCUUAUUAGACCUUUCCCUGUCUCAAGUAAACCAUGUAAAAAACUCCUUGGGUCGAUUGCUUGAUCUGUGCUUUGUCUCGGAUCCGACCGUAGCGUUGUUAACACGAGCACUCCCGUUCACUAUAC
rnacentral:lncRNA from 1 species